rnacentral:tRNA from 1 species
UAAAAGAUAAGCUAACUUAAGCUACCGGGCUCAUACCUCGUGUAUGGAUCUAUCCUCUUUUAA